UUGGGUUGCUGCCCUGGAAUUAAUAAUUUACAGAAAUUUUUUGCAGCUUUUGUUAUUAUCUUGAAUACUUUUUUAUAGAUAGAGAUAAACUGUAAACAGCAAUAAUGUACAGCAAAGUAAGACCUACAAAUAAGUCAACAUGAUCAAAAUUGUCAUUUAACCUAUUAGGAGUUAUUGCCCUUUAUAGUCAAUUAACUUUAAACAAUUUUCAUAAAUUUUGUAAAUUUUGUUAUUUUUUAUUCGUUUAUGAUAUGCACAUAUCCCAAGGUGAGCUCUUUAGAGCCUCUAGUUUUUAUAUAUCAUUGUUUGUAUUGUAUUAUGAAAAUUAUUGAUGUUGUAAUGUUUAUGUCCUUUGGGGCCCACAAUUGGAAAUAAAAUAUCUUCUUCUUCUUCUUUUUCUUAUUCUUUUUCUUCUAGUUCUUUACCAAUACAAUUACGCUAUAUAUAUGUUACAGGCAUUUACUAAAUUUAGGCAUUUUAUAAAAUUUUCAGGCAAUUUAGAAAAUGCCUAAACUUGAUAGGCAUUAUACAAAAUGACUAAAAAUAGCUAGUCAUUUUGUA
rnacentral:lncRNA from 1 species